GACGAACGCUGGCGGCGUGCUUAACACAUGCAAGUCGAACGGAAAGGCCCUGCUUUUGUGGGGUGCUCGAGUGGCGAACGGGUGAGUAACACGUGAGUAACCUGCCCUUGACUUUGGGAUAACUUCAGGAAACUGGGGCUAAUACCGGAUAGGAGCUCCUGCUGCAUGGUGGGGGUUGGAAAGUUUCGGCGGUUGGGGAUGGACUCGCGGCUUAUCAGCUUGUUGGUGGGGUAGUGGCUUACCAAGGCUUUGACGGGUAGCCGGCCUGGGAGGGUGACCGGCCACGUUGGGACUGGGAUACGGCCCAGACUACUACGGGACGCAGCAGUGGGGAAUAUUGCCCAAUGGGCGGAGGCCUGAUGCAGCAACGCCGCGUGCGGGAUGACGGCCUUCGGGUUGUAAACCGCUUUCGCCUGUGACGAAGCGUGAGUGACGGUAAUGGGUAAAGAAGCACCGGCUAACUACGUG
rnacentral:rRNA from 1 species